AGUUUGAUCCUGGCUCAAAUUGAACGCUGGCGGCAGGCUUCCCUCAUGCAAGUCGAGCGGAGUUUUGGUGCUUGCACCAAAACUUAGCGGCGGACGGGUGAGUAAUGCUUAGGAAUCUGCCUAUUAGGGGGGGACAACGUUUCAAAAGGAACGCUAAUACCGCAUACGUCCUACGGGAAAAAGCAGGGAAUCUUUGGACCUUGCGCUAAUAAAUGACCCUAAGUCGGAUUACCUAGUUGGGGGGGUAAAGGCCUACCAAGGCGACAAUCUGUAGCGGGUCUGAAAGGAUGAUCCGCCACACUGGGACUGAAACACGGCCCAAACUCCUACGGGAGGCAGCAGUGGGGAAUAUUGGACAAUGGGCGAAAGCCUGAUCCAGCCAUGCCGCGGGUGUGAAAAAGGCCUUUUGGUUGUAAAGCACUUUAAGCGAGGAGGAGGAGCUUCAGGUUAAUACCCUGAAGGCUGGGACGUUCCUCG
rnacentral:rRNA from 1 species